AUGUUAUGCUUACCUUAUGGUGCUCAUUGCCUCGGAGGUGUGUCUUAAAUUGAAUGAUAUUGGGAAAGUUUUCGAGGCAGACCUGGAACCGACAACAUUAACCCAUCAACAUAAACCCUCACAACAUGAAACGGUCACGCUAACCCGCAUAUGUUGGCAACUUGGCACACAUUUCACCUACUCACCUGGCAUCCGAUCCGGUCCAGUUUGGGGAAGGACAUGGUCACCUUCAGAGGGCGCCUGGUUUUCUGGUUCGGGCUCAGCAGCGUGCUCGGGGAGGGGGAUGAAACAGCCGUCUCCCCGACUCGAGAGGAUUCCAGAGAUCUAAGAAACGGAAGGUGGUCUACGUCAACACACAUUUCGAAGGCAUGAAAACACAGGAACUGAUAAAUCGAUGAAAGAUUAUUUUCUGUAUAUUUUGAUGUUACCUUAUGAAGAAAAAAUUACUUUGAAAGUUAUGGAACCAGAUGUUGAAUUCCUCCAGGUUACUUAUGUGCUUUAUUUUUGGGGUCUCCUGGCGAUUAUUUGGUGUAACUGCGUCCUUUGUGACUACAAUGUUCAGCGCAAGGUCCCUCGAUUUCCGUUUAUACACUGGUCAGCAAGAUUUUCUCGCCUAAUUUCUACAAAAAUCUGCAUGUUUUCUACAUGCUAGACUAGUUAAAAGGUGGUAAUUCUGAUUCUACGUGCUGCUAGCUGCUCGAAUUAAUAAAUCCCCCAGCAGCAGGUGCUGCACCCUACA